UCGCCCCUACGGGAGGCAGCAGUAGGGAAUUUUCGUCAAUGGGCGCAAGCCUGAACGAGCAAUGCCGCGUGAACGAGGAAGGUCUUCGGAUCGUAAAGUUCUGUUGAAGGGGAAAAAGAGCGGAGAGAGGAAAUGAACUCCGAUUGAUAUUACCCUUCGAGGAAGUCACGGCUAACUACGUGCCAGCAGCCGCGGUAAUACGUGGGUGGCGAGCGUUAUCCGGAAUGAUUGGGCGUAAAGGGUGCGUAGGCGGCCUGCUAAGUCUGGAGUGAAAGGUACCGGCUCAACCGGUACAGGUCCGGGCA
rnacentral:rRNA from 1 species